AUUGAACGCUGGCGGCAUGCCUUACACAUGCCAGUAGAACGGUAACGCGGGGCAACCUGGCGACGAGUGGCGAACGGGUGAGUAAUGUAUCGGAACGUGCCCAGUUGUGGGGGAUAACUGCUCGAAAGAGCAGCUAAUACCGCAUAAGAACUGAGGGUGAAAGCGGGGGAUAGCAAGACCUCGAGCAAUUGGAUGGGCCGAUAUCAGAUUAGGUAGUUGGUGGGGUAAAGGCGCACCAAGCCAACGAUCUGUAGCUGGUUUGAGAGGACGACCAGCCACACUGGGACUGAGACACGGCCCAGACUCCUACGGGAGGCAGCAGUGGGGAAUUUUGGACAAUGGACGCAAGUCUGAUCCAGCCAUGCCGCGUGCGGGAAGAAGGCCUUCGGGUUGUAAACCGCUUUUGUCAGGGAAGAGACGCUCUGGGUUAAUACCUCGGGGUAAUGACGGUACCUGAAGAAUAAGCACCGGCUAACUACGUGCCAGCAGCCGCGGUAACAC
rnacentral:rRNA from 1 species